rnacentral:rRNA from 1 species
AGAACCCUGGUUAAGGAACUCUGCAAAUUGACACCGUAACUUCGGGAGAAGGUGUGCCGCUGGCGGUUAGUGACUUCGCGUCACGAAGCUGUUGGUGGUCGCAGUGAAAUGGCGGUUGUGACUGUUUACUAAAAACACAGGACUCUGCGAAGUCGUAAGACGACGUAUAGGGUCUGAUGCCUGCCCGGUGCUGGAAGGUUAAGGGGAUAUGUCAGAGCAAUCGAAGCAUUGAACCGAAGCCCCAGUAAACGGCGGCCGUAACGAUAACGGUCCUAAGGUAGCGAAAUUCCUUGUCGGGUAAGUUCCGACCUGCACGAAGGGCAUAACAACAUCCGCACUGUCUCGACCAGGGACUCAGCGAAAUUACAUUGGGGGUGAAGAUGCCCUCUACCCGCGGAAAGACGGAAAGACCCCAUGAACCUUUACUGCAACUUGGCAGUGAUUUUCGGGUUGUUCUGCGUAGGAUAGGUGGGAGGCUUUGAAGUCGGGCUUCCGGGUUCGACAGAGCCAACGUUGAAAUACCACCCUGAAUAAUCUGGAAAUCUAACCUGCGCCCAUGAUCUGGGCGAGGGACACUGCCUGGUGGGCAGUUUGACUGGGGCGGUCGCCUCCUAAAUUGUAACGGAGGCGUGCGACGGUUCCCUCAGGCUGAUUGGAAACCAGCCGUAGAGUGCAAACGCAUAAGGGAGCUUUACUGCGAGACUGACAAGUCGAACAGUUGCGAAAGCAGGUGUUAGUGAUCCGGUGGUACCACAUGGAAGGGCCAUCGCUCAUCGGAUAAAAGGUACUCUGGGGAUAACAGGCUGAUCGCGCCUGAGAGUUCACAUCGGCGGCGCGGUUUGGCACCUCGGUGUCGGCUCAUCGCAUCCUGGGGCUGGAGCAGGUCCCAAGGGUUUGGCUGUUCGCCAAUUAAAGCGGUACGCGAGCUGGGUUUAAAACGUCGUGAGACAGUUUGGUCCCUAUCUUCCGUGGGCGCAGGACACUUGAGAGGAGCUAUCCAUAGUACGAGAGGACCUGGAUGGACGAACCUCUGGUGCUCCGGUUGUCACGCCAGUGGCAUAGCCGGGUAGCCAUGUUCGGAACAGAUAACCGCUGAAGGCAUAUAAGCGGGAAGCUGGCCUCAAGACUAGGUGUCCCUGACGCAAGUCACUAAAGGCCCCUCGAAGACUACGAGGUUGAUAGGCUAGGUGUGGAAGCACAGCGAUGUGCGGAGCUAACUAGUACUAAUAGGCCGUGCGACUUGACCUC